GGAAAUCUAUCAUUUGGAGAUUUCUCUCCCAGGGCCGAGGUUCAAUGACAAUCUAGUUUGAAUUUUAGCCAAAUGGCAUUUUCAUUAAUGCAAAAUGGGCACUUUUGAAGCCAGCCUUGUUAACUGGAUUCUCUCGUGUAUGUACACGGCGGAGGGUGGGGGGAGUGAAAAGGAAAGAAUCACAAAGCCAUCCAUGCACCUGUGAGAUGCACCAGGGUUUGUACUUUUCAUGAUUCAGUAAGAGCAGCUUCACGUAGCCUGAAUACAAAAAAUUUACAGGUACUGCCAUUAAAAAAAAAAAACCAAUCCUUUCAGGACGGGAGGAAAAUCAAUAGCUACCAGAAUGACUGAGAUGACUUUAGAUCACACAGCCAUAGAGGUCUCACACAAUUCAUAAGGUGAGAGCCAGAUGUAUACAAGAGCCAGACACUGCGCCCAGCAUCUUACACAUAUGCCAAGUCUUACAUCAGUCGUAUAGGAUAUGGAUCUCUAUGACCCCAUUUUAUGAAUGAGGAAACUGAGGUGGAAUGAGUUUGUAGCUGGGUCAAGGUGGCAGACGGGGGACUCAAAUCCUUGCCACCUAGUGCCUAAGCCACCUCCUUGAACACUGUGCUUAUUUUUCUCAUUUAUUCAUUCAUUCAUUCAUUCAUUCAUUCAUUUUGUGUGAUGGGUGGCAUAGAUGCAUGUGUGAGAAUGUGGUCAUAUAGUCAAUCACCUACAUGCAGGAAGCCAGAAAAAGUUAUGGGCUGUCUUCUAUCUCUCUUGGCCGUAGUCUACAGACAUAAGGUCUCUCACUGAACCUGGAGUCAGGCUGGCAGUCAACAGGUCUGAGCAAUUCUCUUAUUUCCACAUUCCUCCCAGAGCACUGGUUUUUAACAAGGGUUACUGUAACUAGCAUAACAACUGCACCUAGCUUUUGUGUACAUUAUUGAGAUUUGAACUCAUGUCUUCGUGCUUGUGCUGCGAGCAUUCUUACCCGUUGUGAUAUCUUCAAAUUCCCACUGUACCUCUUCAACACAUGAACAAACUCAAACAUGGAAAUGAAGUCAGCUUAGAAACCAAAUAGCAAACAAAUGCACCCCUGGUUUUCCAGCCGAGGAUGAGAUGAAGAACUGCAAAGUUCACACCCGGUGUAAAGAAAACAUUAAACUUUUAACAUUAAUUGCUCCUGAACAUUUGUGAGUGCCCGAAAUCCUGACAUAAAAGCUUUAAUUUCUAUGCAAAACAGAUAGGAUGAUUGAGUUAUAAUUAAAAUGGUAAUUAUACCCUUAAUGCUCCAUAUUUGACUUUUCC
rnacentral:lncRNA from 1 species